rnacentral:lncRNA from 1 species
GGGGCUCUUCAGCUGCCCCAACUUUCAGAUUGCGAAGAGCGCCGCUGAGGAACUCAAAAAUGAAACCUGGGAAUAUUCUUCCUCUGUGAUUUCUUUUGUUAAUGGUCAGUUUCUGGGUGAUGCAUUGGAUCUGCAGAAAUGGGCCCACGAGGUGUGGGAUAUAGUUGACAUUAAACCCUCUGCACUUUAUGACGCACUCACUGAGGAUUUUUCCGCUAAGUUCUUAAGAGACACCAAGCAUGAUUUCGUGUUUUUGGACAUUUGUAUUGAUUCUUCUCCAAUUGGAAGAUUGAUUUUUGAGCUAUACUGUGAUGUGUGUCCCAAAACAUGUAAAAAUUUUCAGGUCUUGUGCACAGGAAAAGCAGGGUUUUCUCAACGUGGCAUAAGACUACAUUACAAAAAUUCCAUUUUUCAUCGAAUAGUACAGAAUGGCUGGAUACAAGGAGGGGAUAUAGUGUAUGGAAAAGGAGAUAAUGGAGAGUCGAUUUAUGGUCCAACAUUUGAAGGCAACUGAUUGAAGGAACAGAAGUGCUUAAACAACUAGAAUUAGUUCCAACACAGAAUGAAAGACCAAUACAUAUGUGUAGAAUUACUGACAGUGGAGAUC